AACGAACGCUGGCGGCAUGCCUAACACAUGCAAGUCGAACGAGACCUUCGGGUCUAGUGGCGCACGGGUGCGUAACGCGUGGGAACCUGCCCUUAGGUUCGGAAUAACUCCCCGAAAGGGGUGCUAAUACCGGAUAAUGUCUUCGGACCAAGGAUUUAUCGCGUUUGGAUGGGCCCGCGUUGGAUUAGCUAGUUGGUAGGGUAAAAGCCUACCAAGGCGACGAUCCAUAGCUGGUCUGAGAGGAUGAGCAGCCACACUGGGACUGAGACACGGCCGAGACUCCUACGGGAGGCAGCAGUGGGGAAUAUUGGAAAAUGGGCGAAAGCCUGAUCCAGCAAUGCCGCGUGAGUGAUGAAGGCCUUAGGGUUGUAAAGCUCUUUUACCCGGGAUGAUAAUGACAGUACCGGGAGAAUAAGCUCCGGCUAACUCCGUG
rnacentral:rRNA from 1 species